rnacentral:rRNA from 1 species
UGGGGAAUAUUGGACAAUGGGGGCAACCCUGAUCCAGCCAUGCCGCGUGUGUGAAGAAGGCCUUUUGGUUGUAAAGCACUUUAAGCAGGGAGGAGAGGCUAAUGGUUAAUACCCAUUAGAUUAGACGUUACCUGCAGAAUAAGCACCGGCUAACUCUGUGCCAGCAGCCGCGGUAAUACAGAGGGUGCGAGCGUUAAUCGGAAUUACUGGGCGUAAAGCGAGUGUAGGUGGCUCAUUAAGUCACAUGUGGAAUCCCCGGGCUUAACCUGGGAACUGCAUGUGAUACUGGUGGUGCUAGAAUAUGUGAGAGGGAAGUAGAAUUCCAGGUGUAGCGGUGAAAUGCGUAGAGAUCUGGAGGAAUACCGAUGGCGAAGGCAGCUUCCUGGCAUAAUAUUGACACUGAGAUUCGAAAGCGUGGGUAGCAAACAGG